rnacentral:lncRNA from 1 species
GGGCUGCGCAUUCCUGAGCCACAGGCUGCCUCUCCCUUCCCGUCUGCUCCGAGCCUGUCAGACCAGCUCGGGCCUGGCUCGGGAGCAGGCCAGGGAGCGCCGGCUCGGCGCUGCCGGCGGGGCACCGACCCCGCUGCAGGCCCCAGUCUAGGCCCAGCCGCAGCGCGGCGCAGCAGCCGCCUCAGGAGCGAGGUGUGGGCUCGGCGGGGGCUCUGGGGUCUGCUCUGGCGAGGCUCUGCCUGCAGCUGGGCCKGGAGAACCGUGCAGCGGCACCGUGGCGGCGGGAGCGUCUGGGGGUGCGGGGCCCAGGGCCUCCCUCUCGCACGGGGCGAGGCGGCGGGCACCUGCGGGUGCAGCAGGGCCGGUGCCACCGCUUCCCCGCUCCCCCCCCGCGGACCGUCGUUCGCUGACGGAGGGGCGGUCGGGCUGGAACCGAGGGAGCAGGGCCUCGCCGCUGGCACAGGCAGAGAAGGGUUAAGCGAGAUUCCCCGCAGCCCCGGGCGUGGCAGCUCCUGUUAUUUCACCUUUCGUGUUCUAUCUUAUGCAGCCUGGCAGCCGCGGCGGCUGGUGGCUGGUGUGCCGGGCGGUGCCCGGACGGCUGCGAGGGCGCGGCGGGAGGCGGCUCUGCGGGCGGCGGCCGUGACUCAGGCCCGCGCAGCCUGCUCCCGGCGGGCCCACACGGGCGCCAUGUUAGGGACGCGGCGGGGGCCGCGCUGCCGCCUGCUGGGCCGCGGCUGCCCUGCCUCCGCGGCCUCGGCACGGCUCAUCGCGCCGGUGACACGCGAUCGCCUGCAACUGGAAGUUGCACAGGCAACGAGGAAGGACCCGCAGCAGGAGGGCGUGGAGGAAGGAGCCCAGGCGUUUGGUGGCCAAGGGAUAAGCGCACGGGAAGACCGGGCGCACGCGUGGCAGCCUGAGCGUGUAGUGAAGGUGCGCGCACACRACAGCUCGUGCAGGCCCACGCACCCCAUAACCUGCACUCCCGAGCAGCGCUUCCUGCCGUAUAUUCAUGUACCUGUAUGA